ensembl:lncRNA
CGGACCCACUGACAGGCGAACCGACCUCCUGGACUGGACAAAAGGGUCCCUAUCCGCAUUUACCGAUCCCUGAUUCAUGCUAAAAGAAACAGCAGGAGCCGCAGUGUAUGGGCCAUUCGGGAAGGCAGCCUAAGCAAUGAAGUGUUUGUCCUUGCCUGACGGCAUUGUUUAUUGAUGUAUUGAUGCAUGCCGGGAGCGUGAAGAUUGCUUGAAAAGGUCGAUACAGCGGUUGAUAGAUUGGACUGAACUAUCUGUCACAGGCCAGGGAUGGUUAAAAUAAAAAAUAAAGAGGAUGGAGCGAAGAAGACAAAUGGAUGCCUUCUGAUGGUGUUCCAGAGAGAAUAAUCACAGAAACGGGAUGAGCUGUCACUCGCGCUCACCGUGGCAACAGGAGGAGCUGUCAAGCUGGUUUUGUUUGUUUCCCAUUAACCAGUCCUGCUUUUAAAAUAAAGGCUUUUCUUUUUCUCCAAUAAGGAAGGGUAAUUUAUGAAGCUCCCAGAGUCCGUGACCUCGUAAUAACACGUUCAGAGGUAAAAAAACAAUUUAC